rnacentral:rRNA from 1 species
AGAGCGAACGCUGGCGGCAGGCUUAACACAUGCAAGUCGAGCGCCCCGCAAGGGGAGCGGCAGACGGGAGAGUAACACGUGGGAACGUACCUUUCGGUUCGGAACAACCCAGGGAAACUUGGGCUAAUACCGGAUACGCCCGCAAGGGGAAAGAUUUAUCGCCGGAAGAUCGGCCCGCGUCUGAUUAGCUAGUUGGUGAGGUAACGGCUCACCAAGGCGACGAUCAGUAGCUGGUCUGAGAGGAUGAUCAGCCUCACUGGGACUGAGACACGGCCCAGACUCCUACGGGAGGCAGCAGUGGGGAAUAUUGGACAAUGGGCGCAAGCCUGAUCCAGCCAUGCCGCGUGGGUGAUGAAAGCCCUAGGGUUGUAAAGCCCUUUCGGCGGGAAGAUAAUGACGGUACCCGCAGAAGAAGCCCGGCUAACUUCGCGCCAGCAGCCGC